rnacentral:rRNA from 1 species
UACGAAGGGGGCUAGCGUUGUUCGGAAUCACUGGGCGUAAAGGGCGCGUAGGCGGCUUUGUAAGUCGGGGGUAGAAAGCCUGUGGCUCAACCACAGAAUUGCCUCGAUACUGCAUGGCUUGAGACCGGAAGAGGUUAGUGGAACUGCGUAGUGUAGAGGUGAAAUUCGUAGAUAUUCGCAAGAACACCAGUGGCGAAGGCGGCUGACUGGUC